CUGGGGGUUGAGGGUAAUGAAGGAGAUCCGGGUGAUGUUGGUUUCAGAGGAGCGCCUGGAAAACCUGGCCAGCCUGGCAAGAUGGGAAAACCUGGGGCUCCUGGGAUCAGGGGAAACAUGGGAGCAGGAGGGUUUAAGGGUAAAACUGGACCAAAAGGAAGACAUGGACCUC